rnacentral:tRNA from 1 species
GUUGUGGCUCAGGGGUAGAGCACUUGCCUAGCACAUGUGAAGCCCUGGGUUCAAUCCUCAGCACA